GACGAACGCUGGCGGCGUGCUUAAUACAUGCAAGUCAACUUGACUUUAGAUAGCAAUAUCGAAAAGUAGGGUGGCGCACGGGUGCGUAACGCGUAGGUAAUCUGCCCUGAGGUCUGACAUAACCCGUCGAAAGGCGGGCUAACAUCAGAUGAUAUAUAAUCACGACAUCGUGGAAAUAUCAAAUCUUCGGAGCCUUGGGAUGAGCCUGCGUCUGAUUAGGUAGUUGGCGGAGUAAUAGCCCACCAAGCCUACGAUCAGUAGCUGGUCUGAGAGGAUGAUCAGCCACACUGGAACUGAGACACGGUCCAGACUCCUACGGGAGGCAGCAGUAAGGAAUAUUGCUCAAUGGGGGAAACCCUGAAGCAGCAACGCCGCGUGAAGGAUGAAAUACUUUCGUAUGUAAACUU
rnacentral:rRNA from 1 species